GAUGAACGCUAGCUACAGGCCUAACACAUGCAAGUCGAGGGGAAACGGCAGCUUAGCUUGCUAAGCUGGACGUCGACCGGCGCACGGGUGAGUAACGCGUAUCCAACCUGCCCCACGGUGAGGGAUAACCCGCGGAAACGCGGCCUAAUACCUCAUGGCCUCCGAGCUUGACAUCAACCUUGGAGUAAAGAUUCAUUGCCGUGGGAUGGGGAUGCGUCUGAUUAGCUUGUUGGCGGGGCAACGGCCCACCAAGGCUACGAUCAGUAGGGGUUCUGAGAGGAAAGCCCCCCACAUUGGAACUGAGACACGGUCCAAACUCCUACGGGAGGCAGCAGUGAGGAAUAUUGGUCAAUGGGCGAGAGCCUGAACCAGCCAAGUAGCGUGCAGGAAGACGGCCCUAUGGGUUGUAAACUGCUUUUAUAAGGGAAUAAAGUGGGUCUCGUGAGACUUUUUGCAUGUACCUUAUGAAUAAGGACCGGCUAAUUCCGUG
rnacentral:rRNA from 1 species